rnacentral:rRNA from 1 species
AACGAACGCUGGCGGCAUGCCUAACACAUGCAAGUCGAACGAGACCUUCGGGUCUAGUGGCGCACGGGUGCGUAACGCGUGGGAACCUGCCCUUAGGUUCGGAAUAACUCCCCGAAAGGGGUGCUAAUACCGGAUAAUGUCUUCGGACCAAAGAUUUAUCGCCUUUGGAUGGGCCCGCGUUGGAUUAGCUAGUUGGUAGGGUAAAAGCCUACCAAGGCGACGAUCCAUAGCUGGUCUGAGAGGAUGAUCAGCCACACUGGGACUGAGACACGGCCCAGACUCCUACGGGAGGCAGCAGUGGGGAAUAUUGGACAAUGGGCGAAAGCCUGAUCCAGCAAUGCCGCGUGAGUGAUGAAGGCCGUAGGGUUGUAAAGCUCUUUUACCCGGGAUGAUAAUGACAGUACCGGGUGAAUAAGCUCCGGCUAACUCCGUG